GACGAACGCUGGCGGCGUGCUUAACACAUGCAAGUCGAACGGAAAGGCCCUGCUUUUGUUGGGUGCUCGAGUGGCGCACGGGGGAGUAACACGUGAGUAACCUGCCCUUGACUUUGUGAUAACUUCAGGAAACUGGGGCUAAUACCGGAUAGGAGCUCCUGCUGCAUGGUGGGCGUUGGAAAGUUUCGGCGGUUGUGGAUGGACUCGCGGCUUAUCAGCUUGUUGGGGGGGUAGUGGCUGACCAAGGCUUUGACGGGUAGCCGGCCUGAGAGGCUGACCGGCCACAUUGGGACUGAGAUACGGCCCAGACUGCUACGGGAGGCAGCAGUGGGGAAUAUGGCAGAAUGGGCGGAAGCCUGAUGCAGCAACGCCGCGUGCGGAAUGACGGCCUUCGGGUUGUAAACCGCUGUCGCCUGUGACGAAGCGUGAGUGACGGUAAUGGGUAAAGAAGCACCGGCUAACUACGUG
rnacentral:rRNA from 1 species